rnacentral:misc_RNA from 1 species
CAAAAUCCCAAAUUAAGAAAUUCAAUGAUGGCUGAUCACAAAAUUGCAAUUGAAGCUGAUGCUAACAAGAGAGAAGAAUUGAAGGGUUUCUUAUACAAAUAUUGGCCUGAUACAAUAGAGAUAUUGCAUGGAUUGAGAUUGGGAAAGGAUCAUAAUGCCAAGAUUUUAAUUGAUAAUUGGCCUGAUGUAAAAACUGUAAUACUAACCUAUGAUGAAGGAGAAACUACAUUAAUUUUUUCAUUUGGCACUGAUAAUUCAAAAACGGCUUCAAUUUUAAGGUCUGUUAUUGAUUUGCAUUUGAAUGAUUCACAGCAAAUAUUUACUUACGGUUUUGCUGAAAUUUUUCAAGAAACAAAGAAAUUUAACGUAGAUAUAAACUAUGAACCCUUUUUUCGAUAUGUUUACACAACAGAUACAGUGAUAGAAAGACCAACUCUUCCUGAAGGAUAUAAAAUUGAUAUUAUUCAUUCGUCUGAUAUUGAUUUUGUGGUAUCAAAAUGGGGACUAGCUAAAGGUAGUCUCAAAAUGAAACAGUUGAUGAGGCGUUACAUUACCAAUUAUCCAAAUGUUGCAAUUUAUGAUACAUCAAUCGAACCUCCUCGCUUAGUUUCAUGGAAUGUAUCAUCAGCAAUUGGCUGCCUCUACCACUUUUUUACAGUUGAGGAACAUCGUGGCAAAGGAUUAGGAACCAUUGUCAAAAUAGAAUUGUUACAAAAGAUUCUAGCUAAAGGGAUCACACCAUUUAGUUACAUUUAUACUGAUAAUGCUAAAGCCCAAACAAUAUCUGAGAAGAUUGGAUUUGUUCGGGGCUCACUUUUGGCUGCUCAACUUAUUUUACAUUAAACCCUUUCUAACAUAGACAGCUUUUUGCUGUCAGACCUUUGAUGUGUUUAGGCAAUACUUGGGCAAAAAGUUGUAAAGCUUUUCUUUACACAUUUUGGCAACAAGUUACGACAACAAAACUACUGGCAACGAAGCUGAUUGUCAAAUACCGCUAUAAUGUGGAUUGUUAUGGUGUGGUUGUUAGUUUGAGAGAAGUAGGGAUCUAUAUCAAACUUCAGUUACAAUUGCACAUUUAGUUACACUCCUUUUAUAUAAAUAGAAUUACAAUUAUGCCAUGUUGAAGUAAUUUCAAUUAAAAAUACUAUUUUUAAAUGUUUUGCAUUUAACAGAAACCUAUAGCUUGCUUUUUAAAAUGGAAUUUUAUGAUAACAUAUUGUCAAUCAGAAAAAAAUGAUUAAAAUGAUGAUUUUCUCCUAUAGCAAUUUUUGAUGUGCAUGCUGAUUGAGCCUGAGACAUAUAUCCUCUACUACUUAUUUACAACUGAAGUUCCUUCCAUUCUCAAAAAUCAAAUUGCCACUUUAUUACACUGAUUGUUACAAUCUAUAUGGAUCUAACUCUUAAUAUAAUAUAAUAAAAUUAUACUAAAAAGUUAUUACUAUUAUAACUUGCUCUAGUUGACUUGCCAGUGGCUAAUCUCAUGUAUAUAAAAAGGUGUGCCAACUGGUUGCAAAUUAGUGGUUAGGUGAUGGAUCACAAAGUUGCUAUUGAAGUUAAUGCUAGCAAGAGAGAAGAACUGAAGGAUUUCUUAUGCAAAUAUUGGCCUGAUACAAUAGAGAUAUUGCAUGGAUUGAAAUUAGGAAAAGAUCAUAAUGCUAAGAUUUUAACUGAUUGUUGGCCUGAUGUAAAAACAGUAAUACUAACCUAUGAUGAAGGAGAAACUACAUUUGUUUUUUCAUUUGGCACUGAUGAUUCAAAAACAGCUUCAAUUUUAAAAUCUGUCAUUGAUUCACAAUCAAAUGAUUCACAUCAAAUAUUGAUUAAUGGUUUUGAAGUUUUUCAAGAAAUGAAGAAAUUGAACAUAGAUACAAAUUGUGCACCCUUUUUUCGAUAUGUUUACACACCAGGUGCAGUGAUAGAAAGACCAACUCUUCCUGAAGGAUAUAAAAUUGAUAUUA